rnacentral:rRNA from 1 species
AUGGCUCGACUUGAUGGGAUCAAUGACCCCAAUGGUAAGUUCUACCUAGUAGAUGUUGAAUAUGCAUGUCGUCCUGGUGUUCUAGCAUCCUUCAGGAAAACCAAGUAUCAUCUCAGCGCGUUCUCUUCUGGAAACUAUCCUAAGACUGCACAAGAACUGUUCAAUCUCAGACACUCUAGCCUAAGAGUCACGGUUGAGAGGGCAUUUGGUGCUUUGAACAAUAGAUUUAAGAUCCUGGAUCAGAAGGCAUUCCGCCCUUUCCCCACCCAAGUUAGGCUUGUUGCAUAUUGCAUUCUCCAUAAGUGGAUCUUAAAUAAGGGUUAUGAUGAGCUUGUGCCAGAUAAGGAUGUGACGGAUGAUGAUGAUCAUGACUCCGACCAUGGCGUGGAGGCGCUUGUCAAUGAAACUUGGAAGAGCGAAAGGUUAGAGUGGGCUGAGGCAACGUGGGCCAACAGAGGUAACACGAGGAAGAAGUUCCACCUUCUUCGACAUUGA